rnacentral:piRNA from 1 species
AUAAUACAUGGGUGGAUUUUACUUGUC